CUAAAUAUGGUCAGGGAGGGAAGAGCACGAGCAGGGGCCGCUCGCCCGGCAGUGCGUGUUUCGGAUGCUUCGCUGGGUAUAUAAGCACUGGAAAGGUGGACCCGCUUCCUGACCAGCACUUGCCCCCCUCGGUCUCCCCCAUGGGUGCGUGUGUGCGUACCCCUCCCGGCGGCUGACCCCAACCCAGGGCUGACCCUUGGGAAGGAGGGGAAUCUAGAGAGGGGACAGCCCCAUUUCGCACCCAGGUGUGCUGCAAUCCGGGCGGGUUGGGUCCCUUCUCCUUAACCCCCGCCUCGCCUGCCGCCGCCGGCUCUCCCCGGAGCCCCGCUCCCCCCGCUCAUCCUCCGCUGCUCAGCCUCCGCUGUACCGCGCUGCCUGCCGCCUUCCUCCCCCCACCGCCCAGCCGCGAUGCAGCAGCGGGGAUGGAGUUGUAGUGGUGCUGGGCGGAGGGGGUGAGAGAUUGGCUAUAAGGAGAAGGCUGACGGCUGCAGCAUGAAGCGCAUUAUUACCUUGUGAUUCCAUGACCCUCCUCUAUGCAUCCCUAACUCUCGAAAGCUGAUUCAGCUUUCAGCUAGUGCUCUGGUGAGUCCUCUGCUGCAACAGAAGCUCCUAACUGGUAUAUUGGGGAUUGUUUGCUGCAAGGUAGUGUCACACUCACGGUGACCAGCAGAGGAAAAAUCACUGGAUUCUUUAGCAAAGUUCCUCAUCACAGAACUCCAUGAAAAUGCUUCUCAGCCCCCAAGGCAGAGCGGGUGCCUGUGUUCAGCACGGAGGGACGCGGCUGUCACCAUGCCAGGUGUGACGUGGGGCUGCAUCAGAUCGAUGGCACAUCCACGGGAGAGCUCACUAGUGAUGCCAGGUUUAUUUAGUGAAAUCUCAGAGUUCAGGAAGAGAAGGUUAUUCUGGUUAAAGCAGCGACUUGGAGGGGAGGAAGGGGAGGUCUGCACACACACAAAAGGAAAAUGUGUUAACAAACAGCAACCAGAAGGCCAUCAGGUGAGACCUCUGCUAUCAGAGCUGAGAGCAGUAGGGAUGUGGUUUUUAGAUAUCAGUGUCUGAGUGUGGUUGUCUAGACAGAAUAGCGGAUGAUAAAAAGGAAAUACAUGGAAGGCAGACGCUAAAUAUUUAAUUCCUCUAAUUUCGGGGGGAAAGCUGAGUAAAUUAGCAAUGUCACAGGACUGUGCAAAAUACCUCCAGCUUCAAUUCGUGCCCCAAACUCCAGGAAUGCAGCACACCCGAGUGCUGCUGACUUUGUGCCAGAGCAGGAAUGUCGCUCGUAAUUAUAAAUCUGAUUAUCUGAUGUUGAUUUUGUGAGAAAUAAUGGAAGAGCUGAUAAGGGACUUGAUUAAUAACAAUUUAAGGAGAAUAAUUAAUUACAAUCAACAUGAGUUAAUGGAAAAUAGAUCUUAUUAAAUGAAAUUGAUAUAAUUUUUCAAGAAAGUGAUUAUAGAUUUGAUUGAUUUAGUACAUUUCAUCAACACUGUUACGUUUGACUUCUGCAAGGCAUUUGACUUAAUGUUGUCUCAUUUAUUAGGAAGAUAAAACAAUGUAAAAUCAACACGGCAUGCACUAAACGGAUGAAAACCCCACUGAUAUGUUUAAAUGUACGGCUGCGUGCAGACACUCAUCACAAGUGGCUGUGUUUCAGUUCAUCACUUUUAGCAAAAUGGUUGAAAAUCAAAAUUAAUUACAAUCAAAGUUUGCUGAUGAGUUCGAUUUGGAUCAUGGUGGGGCUGGGGAUCAAUCUCCUCCUGAGCCAGAUAGAAGCAAAAAACAUCUCAUUCAACAUAUACAAAGACACACUUGGCAACUGGAAUUUCAUGGCAUUUGGGGGAAGGAGGGAUCCUAUAACACAAUGCUGGAAGCUCAGACAAAUAGCAGAGUGGAAUACCUCUUGGUGUAACAUCUGCUGGGACCCUGAAGCUAUUUCUGGUGCUUUCAACUCAAGAAGGAUAUUGAUGAAUGGGAGAGGGCUCCAAGGAGGCACGUAAGAAUGACUGAAGCGUUGCAAGACAUGCCUUAUAGUGACAGAUUCAAGGACCCCAAUGCGCUUAGCUUAACAAAGAGGAGGUUAAGGGGUGGCUUAAUGACAAUCCAGAUGUGCUCAGACAGACAGAAAUGGGAAGCUCUACAAUCGAGCAGACAGAGCGAUAAAAAGAGCUUGUGACUGCAAGCUGACACUGCGAAAUUCAUGCCAGGACAUGUGCACUUCUUAAGCGGACAGAAUUUACAUCAGAACAACUUCCCAACAAGUAGUUUCACCAUCUUUCACCAUUUCAAAUUCAUAGCAGAUUUGAUUCUGUUUUGUUUUUAUAUAUAUCUCAGAUCCACCAAAGAUCACUCUUUAAAUGAACACUCAGAGACCCACACUCAAAUUCCUCACAAAAGCCUUUGGUACAGACACCUCUUGGACAUCUCCAGAACUGCCCUUUGUCUUCUCCUGGGGCUGGUUUGCAAGCCCCAGUGACAUUACAGUGCAGCUGGGGACAAACAGGUGUAUUUUAUUAAUUCUAUUACUAUUAUUAAUGUAAUAUUAAUUGGGGCACUACGACAUUAUUUCUGGGUUUUUGGGCUCUGAAAAUAGCAUGAGGGGAGAAUUUUCCUUCCAAGUAAAUACUGUGAUGGGUGAUAGAGGUCAAAUAAGAACCGAUAUCCAAAAGCAAGAAAAUAAAAUUUGUUUUAUAACCAAUUUAUAUAAAAGGGACUUUAUCUUCUUAUAAUGUCUUUACCUUUAAAAGCAGGCCUUUACCUUAUAUAAAGGACAUAAAAGAGAUAUAAUUUGUUAUCUUAACCUGUAAUGAGAUGAGCAAAGAUUUUAAGCCCCUCCACAGCCUACUCACUGUUCCACUGCAGUUCAUAAAUACCCAAACCCACCCCGCUGUAUGUGUAGGGCCUCACCUCUGCAGCUUGUAGGCUCUGCCUCAUCCCCCUACUGACAUCAUGGAGCAAAUGAGCAAGAGUCCUCUGCUCUUGAAUCCAUUGAAUCCAGAUCCGAGUUGGCCAGCCAACAUGACUGCCAUCGAUUUCAGGUUUGGGUCCAGGAACUGAGCAGAUGCUUUUGAACCGGACAACAACUCAGCAUUUAUAUUUUAUCCAAAGAAUCCUGAACCAGCAGAAAUGGUUUUAAAGCUAGGGCAACAUCAUUACCAUAGAGAUAAACAUUACGUUAAUGUGGUUCACCAUAACAACAGACCAUUUAUUAAAACACUUCACCAUUUAAUUUAUCCAGCGUUUUAUACUGAAGAGUAUUUUCAUUAGGAUUCCACUGCAAAACUGGAGAAGGCAUUAAAUCAUUUAAUAUACUGACAGCUCACUUAAUUUAUUUAAGCAGGGGACUCUAAUUUAAAAAAGCAGACCUUACACAGUGCCCUAUCUUUUCAGUCCCGGCAUGCAAGGUCCUAUUAAUUUCAGGGUAGGGUGUUACAUUAAAUCAGCUUGAGAUCUCACCAUGUGCUUUCCCUUGGUCAGCAGCCCUCUACAUUGCUGCACCUGCCAGAGCUGCCUGCAGGAACCUCUCCUGAUGCCUUGCUCCAUGCCUCUUGCUGCUGCUAAUGUCUGUGAGCAUCUCACCUUUUGCAUCCCAUGGUUGAGGGAUCAGCAGGGAAGCAGGAAGCCCUGAGGUUCUUGCUGAGGUCUUCCAUUUAACUCCUGCUAAUUGGGAUUUAGAAAUGCCUCUUGUCUUUGGAGCACUUUGUGAAGUCUGGGAGAAUCACUGCAACUUACUCCUAUCUCAGUUUGCACUGAAUUAGCAAGAAACGUGCAGUUGUCAAAGAGUCACAGAACGUUUUGAGUUGGAAGGGAUCAAUCCUUGCAGCACACUACUGUUGUUCCCACAUUUGUCAUAAUGAACAGAAGAGGAGAAUAUUGUUACCUGUGCCAAAGCCUGGGUGACUCUAGGAUCUCUGAUGGCUGCUGGUUUCAUUGCUGUCCAAGGCUGGUAUUGAAGCAGACCCUUGGAAACAACAGCACAUUGUCAAUAGCACGUGGGACAUUAUUAAUAAACACUACAGAGCUUGAUAUGAUCUGGCAAAAGCAGCACAAUGAAAACAGGUACCAAAAGAAGGACAGAGAGAAAGGGAAGUGAUCUGAACAGGGUGUUUAAUGACUCACCGGGCUGCAAAGCACAGUGGAGAGCAAGGAUGGAAUAGAAAACAUUUUAAUGAAUUCAGCAUACACACCCUUUGGAGGCUCAGCUCCCCAUUCCCCAGCAAGAUUUGACCCACCCGAAGAUACAGAUCACACCGAAAAUAAUAACCAGUAAGUAAUAAUAAUAGUAAUAAUAGGAAGAGCAAGACCCUCAUCUCCAAUUCAUAUUUAUAAUCCAGCAAAUAUCUCACCUAAAUCCGGAAGAUUUAUGGGUUUGCAUCUAUAAUUAAUAUCCCUCCUUAAGCAAGAAAGGGUAUAUUUUCAUAAAAAUAAAUCUGGUGCUCUAGACUGGAUUUGGAAAACUAAUAUUUAAAUCCCCAGCAAGAGAUGGUUAUUGAUCGCAUAUAUGUGUCUACAACAGAGACAAGCCAUGCACAUAUAGAGAGCAAGAAAAUUGCAUAUUUAUGUUUAGAAUAAAUAGAUAAAGUUUCUAUUUUAAAUGCAAUAGAUGAAACAUAAGCAGGAAAAAGGAGAAAGAUGGGCAGCUCCAAACUGCCCGUUUCCCAAAGAUUCAAUUUGCAUUAGGCCUGCUGCUAACGGCAGGGCUGCAGUGGGCGCCAAGAUGCAUAAAGGGCCUCGAGACAAAGCAAUCGAUCUUGUUUUAGUUUUAUGAGGAAAAUAAACAGUUGGGCUGAUAUAAAAGCAGAAGGGUCAAGCAGAGGCAGGGCUAAUGAAGUGACUCACAGGAGCUCAGAAUUAAAACAGUCUUCCUGUUCUCUAUCCUCCCUUGUGGGGGACACCUGUAUCUCCCCUAAAUCUCAUGGGUGAGUGAUAGCAGAGCACCUGCUGAAUCCAGAGCUUUCUCAGUGCCUCAGCAUGCCCUGAGCAAGAACUGUGGAGAUGUGACAGUGAGGAAUGUGGGGUGGGCUGGGGUUGGACUUCAGGAUCUCAGAGUUCUCUUCCAAUCUUAAUGGCGCUUUGACUCUGUGAUUCUAUGAUUCUACAACUCAGGGAUUACCUUGCUUUCUGCACAGUAUCUACAUCCAAAUUUCAAUGUUUGUGGUUUUUUUUUCAUUCUUUUUUUACCUCCUCAGGUUUCUUUUCACUCCCCAGAGCUUCAGCUAGUAGAGUGGGAAUGUGCCAGGUGAGCAGCUGAAGCACAACUAGGAAAGGAUAACUCCUCUGCUGCAAGCAGGGAUUGAGCUGAAAAAUCCUGAGUUGCUGGAAAUCUAAAAGUAGUCACUGUUCCAAGGUCAGGAGGCUGAGAGUCACUUCACUCAGUGGUGCAUUUUCCAACAGAGGUAAAGCAGUUCUGCUGUCCUGGAUCCAAAGUAAAGCUAGGAGCAGAGCCCAGACACUUGUAUUUAUGUUGUCCUAAGCUGUAUAACAACCCUAUUUAAGAGAGAUUUUAAUUAUUCAUGGUUAAAUACCAUGCAUAAAAAAUAAAAAU